CCUGCGGUCGCCUCAGCCCCACCCCGCGCGCCACGGCGCGCUCCCUCCUUUAAGCUCACCUUGGCUCCCAAGAGCCGGGUUGCUGCAGUGAGUAGAGCCAUGGCGGGCGAAACUCCGGGACCUGGCGGGAAGGGACCGAAGGGAGAGAGCUACAGCUGCAACAGGAGCGGUCGCCGCUGUGAUGGAGACCGCGCCAACCGGCGGACAAGGUUGAAAGGAGGCGGCUGAGGGGAAGGGUAGACAAACCGGCACAGGCGCCCAGCCCAGGGUCCUCGGCGAGGCCCCGCCCUCUGCCCGAAACUUGAGCCCGCCCCCCUCCGGCGACCCACCCCGGCCUCGACCAUUGGCCCAAAAUGGAAGAGGGGCGGGAUCUGAGCCUUUGACAGAUGUUAUCGCGGGGAGGAUUGGACCGUACGGAUUAGGCUAAUUAGGAGUGGGUGGGAAAGGGAUUGUAGGUGUCUAAGGAUGUGCCUGAGAACUCAGUUAACUUCCUUCUUUGGCUUUUCCCUUUGCCCUUAACACAUUUCGGGUUCUCCGGAGAAUGCUGAAGAUAAAGCUCCAGCACGCGACGUUUGAAGGUCACUGAACACUGCAACUGACCAUUGCACUUCCUCUACCUGCUUGGCAUGCUUUCUUAAAGAAUGUCUUUGGUUAAUGACUUCAUGGCCGUGGAGGUGACAUCACGCAGAAAGCCCGCUAUGAUGCCAGAGUUAGUUGCUUGAUGGUCAUUUGUGAACAGAAGAAAUCUUGAAAUUACAGAUACUGACCCCGUUAUGUGGAGAAGAGCAAAACCAGAAGCCUGAAUGUUUAGUGAUGUUUGUGAACUAUAUGGAGUCUAAGUCUUACAAAAGCCCCCUUAAUAUGAAGGAACCUUUCAGUCUUUGGGUCCUGGGCCUUAUGAUUCUGACAUUCUUCAUAAAACCCCAUAUCAUAAAACCCCAUAGAGCCAGCCCACCUCAGACACAGGAUCAGGAGCUGCAACUCUCCACUCAAGAUCAGGUGUUAGACACUCUCUUUUCGUCCCAUCAUUCACAGUAUUUCCAAAGGACUCGAGGACGUUUAUCCUACUUGGCUCUCUCUCUUAUUUCUCCCUCAGAAAACAUUGCAGUGAAUGACACAAGGAUUUAAUGAUCUUACACAUCACUCUUAAAUGCCCCGGGGUAGAACACCUCAGAACUUCUGUACUUUCCUGUGCCUACUGUGAAAUUGGCCUAAGGGUGGAGAGAAGCUGACCCAAUGAUCAGAGCACCUUAUCUGUAACCACCAAGCCUCAAAUGUACAAUCCUUUUAUCUCACCACAUGACAGUAACAAAGUGCAGAGGUCUCAGUAUCCAUGUAAGCCAAGUUCAGAUAGUCCUUGUUUAUAGAGGAUGUAGUUUGUGGCUUAGACUUGGAAAAGAGAAAGAAAACCCCUAUUUCCUCAAGUUUUCUCAUAUACAUAUUCAUAUCUGCCCA
rnacentral:lncRNA from 1 species